UGGCGGCGUGGAUAAGACAUGCAAGUCGAACGGGGCUGGUUUGGUAGCAAUACCGGGCUAGCUUAGUGGCGAACGGGUGCGUAACACGUGACCAACUUUCCCAAAAGUGGGGAAUAGCUCGCCGAAAGGCGGAUUAAUACCGCAUGUACCUCGAAGCAAUUUGAGGCAAAGCAGCAAUGCGCUUUUGGAUGGGGUCGCGGCCUAUCAGCUAGUUGGUGGGGUAAAGGCUCACCAAGGCAUCGACGGGUAGCUGGUCUGAGAGGACGACCAGCCACACUGGAACUGAGACACGGUCCAGACACCUACGGGUGGCAGCAGUCGAGAAUUUUUCUCAAUGGGGGAAACCCUGAAGGAGCGACGCCGCGUGGAGGAUGAAGGCUUUCGGGUUGUAAACUCCUGUCAUUUGGGAACAAAGUCCGCCUCUGGCGGAUGUGAUAGUACCAGAAGAGGAAGAGACGGCUAACUCUGUGCCAGCAGCCGCGGUAAUACAGAGGUCUCGAGCGUUGUUCGGAUUCAUUGGGCGUAAAGGGCGCGUAGGCUGCGGGGUAAGUCAGGUGUGAAAUCUCAGAGCUCAACUCUGAAAUUGCACUUGAUACUGCUCUGCUAGAGGACUGGAGAGGAGAUUGGAAUUCACGGUGUAGCA
rnacentral:rRNA from 1 species